ensembl:lncRNA
GUAUAACUACUUAUAAUGUGAUUCUCUUUCUUUCCUUUUGCCCUUGUUGACCUGAAGUACCCUUCUACUUGAAGGACGGCUGAGGAAAUAGGGAGCCUAUGACAUCCAAAAUAGGAUAUUGCAACAAGCAACUAGCCUUGCAAGGAAUUGCUUCAAUUAGGGCCAUCUUAGUGGAGUUUGGAAGACCCUGAACCUACCUGACUACCAGUGCCUCAAGCCAUUAUCUCCCCAAAACAAUAUCAGCUGCCUGGGGGAGAAAAAGAAAUGAUGACCCUCAUUGCCAAGCUUCAGGAAGCCAAAGUGAAACUAUCUCUUCAUUUAAUAGUUCUGUCUGGCCUGUGUGCAAGGCCUUGGGUAGCUGGAGAAUCACCAUUGAGGUGGCUCAAUACCACAAUGCUGCCCUUGGCACUGGUGGACCUGACAUUGUGACUGUCACAGAGGCUAUUGUCCAAGCCAAGGGAACUUGGGUAGCAUGUGUGAAUCCUGAUUCACCAGAUUCAUUGAUAAUGCAUAUCAUAGGCAGUUGCCACUGUUCUGAGUUUGAUGAAUUGUUGGAUAUGUCACCCACCCCCUGAUCUUACAGAUAAACAUCUGAUUGCUGUGCUACUGAAUACCACAAAUGGACAUUUCUUUAAGUGUGGACAUUUCUGGUACCUUAAGUACUCAACAUUAUUAAUCUAGAUCUGAUACAUUGCUGCACUUGGACCCUGACACUGCAGAGUGAAAUGCCUCCCUAAACGUCAACUCUCUCCUGUCAAAGUUGGGGGCAACUGGAACAUUUGUAGAAGCCAUUUUGUAAAGACCAUUGUAAGGCUAUUUUGGACAUGACGAUGGGGCCCUCUCCUCCCCUACACUCACCUCCAUCAUUACUCGGGGAAGUUGCCAGGCCACACCAGACAUUUUAGUGACUCCAGAAUGUCCUGACUCAGGAACAAGGAAACAUUUUGGACCACAAAGCAAUUCUAUUGUAGUGAAUAUCCUCCAGUUUUGAAUCUGUUAACAUUCUGAAUUUGAUAUCUUUUCUCUAACACCUGAAGAUCUUCUCUGAUGAUUCUGGCUUCUUUCCUUGUGCCUCUGGCUUCCUGUUCUUCUCUCUUGGUUCCCUGAAUACGUGUGCUUCUGAAUACUUGCUCAUCAGUUGACCUUCAUUUUGAACCUGGAUGCAAGCCUUGUGUUCACAUGUUGUUUUCCCUUUCUCUCUGAUAUGCAGACUUCGGACCUACCCAUUGUCACUUCUAAGUUCCCCAAAGUGCAACACAUUUUCCAAAAGGAAAAAAUAAAUGUAUUGAAAAAUCUACAUUUACAGAAAUUUGAUUUCUUAAUUGUUAAUUGUGUGGAGUUGGUUAGAAAGUUACAGUUUUUAUAACGUUAGUAGUAAACAAUCCUAAUUUAAAAGUGGUUCUGCAAAAUGAAUCAUGCUUAUCUUUGAGAUUUGAAUAAUAAAAUAUUACAGAUCAAAUAAAGAUUAUCAAAAGUGAUUACUUAACCAUUAGAAAGGUGCUAAAAUCACACCUGUGUGAGAAAAACUUCAUUAGCAAACUGUGUAC